rnacentral:rRNA from 1 species
GAACCUGCGGAAGGAUCAUUAAAGAAUACAAGGCUUUCGAGUCCUAUUCUCACCCUUUGUUUAUCAACUCUGUUGCUUUGGCAGGCCUCCGGCUUCGGCUGGGUCGUGUCUGUCAAGGGCCUAACUCUUGAAUUUUUGCAGUCUGAGUACUAUAUAAUAGUUAAAACUUUCAACAACGGAUCUCUUGGUUCUGGCAUCGAUGAAGAACGCAGCGAAAUGCGAUAAUUAAUGUGAAUUGCAGACUCAGUGAAUCAUCGAAUCUUUGAACGCACAUUGCGCCCUCUGGUAUUCCGGGGGGCAUGCCUGUUCGAGCGUCAUUACAACCCUCAAGCUCAGCUUGGUGUUGGGCUCGCCCUGUAGGGCCUGCCUCAAAGUCAGUGGCGGCACUGUCCGACCCUUAAGCGUAGUAUUACUCGUCGCUUUUUCGGUCGGAUUGCGCCUGCCAGCCAACCCCCACCAUCAAGGUUGACCUCGGAUCAGGUAGGGAUACCCGCUGAACUUAAGCAUAUCAAUAACCGGGAGGAGGAU